CUGGUAUAGAGGCAGCUAGAUAAAAUAAGCUAGCCAUGUGUUUAUGAGAGGCAUGGAGCAGAUUCGUUCCGCUCUUCUUGCAUAUGCCUCACAAGAGCCUUUGUUCUACUGACAAAAUCUCCCCAUGCCCUACAAUCCAGGGAGCAAUAAAAAAGGUAUCUUAAAAAUGUAGUGAUGUUGCCUACUCAACAGGGCUUUAAAUCAAAACAAAGUCUUCAGUGAGAAAAAAAGGCUUCUCGCUCUGGAAAAAUUCCCGGCCUUGUGUUUCCCAAAAUGCUAUCACAAAACAUCGUUAUCUUGUCUCUUCCUAUCUCUGGUGUGUCAUUGGAAUGGCCUGAAUGAAGUUGCUAUUUGUAGCAUAGGGCUCAUGCAAAGCUUGUAUCAAUGAAGACACUUAAUUGCUCCUCUUUGCAAUAUUAUGCAAUUGGUGCUUCUCUAAUAGUUCUCCUUGUCAAUGCCAGGAUCUCAUGACUCACUGUCAUGAGGGAGCCUUCUCCUUCCUGUGAGCAGUAAUCAGUUUACUAGCAAAUCUCUGUGAGCUCCUGCAUACGAGAAGACGCCUCCAUCCUUUCUUGCUAGCUUCCGGAAUGCAGCAAUCAGAUGUGCUCCAGAAGUGAUUGUAUUCAGAUGAAGAUAGUAAGGCACCAAGGCUGUGUAACACUUCUCAUCCUUCAUCUAAUAUACCACACAAUGCACUACAAGCCUCCGAGUGAAGGUGUUUGCUGCAGGAGGGCAGUCAUGCUGAAACACAUCUUCCAGAGGAGAUUUGCUGCUUUGGUUUACACAGGGCUGUGUAACAGUUCACAACAUCUGCUCCAUCGUGACUCCUUUCUUGGGGACAAACAUCUUCAGCAAACAAAUGGAAUGGGGGCUCAACCUGCGGCUCUGCCAGAACAGCCUCCAUCUCUCGCCAUCAAGCAAAACAGCACCAAAGAAUGAAGUAGUGUCCCGAGUUCUGAGUCAAGCAACACCUCAUUCUGGUCUGUGUGCUGGGUCACACCAGUCCCUGGAUACGUACCUGGCUGUACAGGCAGGAUUUCAGCUUAAAUUCCUGGACUCUCAGUAUGUUCAGCACAUCCUUCAAACCUCUCCUAAUAAAUGGAGCCAAGGGCAUGCCACUGUGCAAAUUCUAGCGGGUGGAUUUAGAGCCAUAGAACCAUCGGACAUCCCGACAUGGAGGGGACCCAUAAGGACAACUCAAUCCGACUCGUGAGGACUGGUUACCCAAUGCCCACGUUACGAAUGCUGAAAAGAAAAGCAGAGGCAUCGGGAUGACUCCCGCCUACUCGGCCAUCGCUGUGCUAAAGCUUUAAUUUCUUCCCUGAGUUUUUAUCGUCGAGGGUGAUAAACGUAGGAACUGAUGACAGUGCGCAAAGCCAGCCCCUACGCACGGCCGGCUGCACUCGCAUCCAUCCAAUCGGGGCUGAAACGGAGCAGUUCGCACCUUCAAAUGCACUCAUCUGUGACCCUUUACAACAAGCCGACGGUGGCAAUGGGACGGCACAGUGCAGCCUCCCUGCCAUAAGCGUCUUUUGGGACUUUCCGAUCCCGACGUCGUCCAGUAACUUUGAAUAAAUUCGAUGUGUCGGUAACGCGAAGACCGGCG
rnacentral:lncRNA from 1 species